rnacentral:rRNA from 1 species
AGGAUCAUUAUUGAAAUAAACCUGAUAAGUUGUUGCUGGUUCUCUAGGGAGCAUGUGCACACUUGUCAUCUUUGUAUCUUCACCUGUGCACAUUUUGUAGACCUGAGUAUCUCUCUGAAUGCUUUAUGGCACUCAGGAUUGAGAGUUGACUUUUUGUCUCUUCUUAUAUUCUCAGGUCUAUGUUUUUCAUAUACCCCAAUGUAUGUUUAUAGAAUGUAAUUAAUAGGCCUUUGUGCCUAUAAACCUUUACAACUUUCAGCAACGGAUCUCUUGGCUCUCGCAUCGAUGAAGAACGCAGCGAAAUGCGAUAAGUAAUGUGAAUUGCAGAAUUCAGUGAAUCAUCGAAUCUUUGAACGCACCUUGCGCUCCUUGGUAUUCCGAGGAGCAUGCCUGUUUGAGUGUCAUUAAUAAUAUCAACCUCUUUGGUUGGAUGUGGGUUUGCUGGCCUUUUUGAGGUCAGCUCCCCUUAAAUGCAUUAGCGGACAACAUUUUGCCAACUGUUCUUUGGUGUGAUAAUUAUCUACGCCAUUGAUGUGAAGCAAAGGUUCGGCUUCUAACAGUCCAUUGACUUGGACAAACUCUUUUCUUAUUAAUGUGACCUCAAAUCAGGUAGGACUACCCGCUGAACUUAA